rnacentral:siRNA from 1 species
AACUGAUUAUGCAAUGAAAGUGG